CGCGUAGGCGGUUUGAUAAGCUGGAUGUGAAAGCCCCGGGCUCAACCUGGGAAUUGCAUCCAGAACUGUCAGGCUAGAGUACAGUAGAGGUGAGUGGAAUUUCCUGUGUAGCGGUGAAAUGCGUAGAUAUAGGAAGGAACAUCAGUGGCGAAGGCGGCUCACUGGACUGAUACUGACGCUGAGGUGCGAAAGCGGUGGGGAGCAAACA
rnacentral:rRNA from 1 species